rnacentral:rRNA from 1 species
CUACGGAGGGUGCAAGCGUUACUCGGAAUCACUGGGCGUAAAGCGCGCGCAGGCGGCUAUUUAAGUUGGAUGUGAAAGCCUACGGCUCAACCGUAGAACUGCAUCCAAAACUAUUUAGCUAGAGUGUGGGAGAGGAAGAUGGAAUUAGUUGUGUAGGGGUAAAAUCCGUAGAGAUAACUAGGAAUACCAAAAGCGAAGGCAAUCUUCUGGAACAUUACUGACGCUGAGGUGCGAAAGCAUGGGGAGCAAACAGGAUUAGAUACCCCAGUAGUCC